GUAAGUGUUUAAGAGCGUACGGUGGAUGCCUUGGCACCAGGAGCCGAUGAAGGACGUAGGAGGCUGCGAUAAGCCUCGGGGAGCUGUCAACCGAGCUGAGAUCCGAGGAUUUCCGAAUGGGGAAACCCAGCACGAGUGAUGUCGUGUUACCCGCAUCUGAAUAUAUAGGGUGUGUGGAGGGAACGUGGGGAAGUGAAACAUCUCAGUACCCACAGGAAGAGAAAACAACAGUGAUUCCGUGAGUAGUGGCGAGCGAAAGCGGAUGAGGCUAAACCAGGAGCGUGUGAUACCCGGCAGGGGUUGCGUUCUUGGGGUUGUGGGGCUCAUUUUCUUCAUUCUGCCGGAUGGAGCGAGAGUCAGAAACCGUUGGGUUAGUCGAAGUGGUCUGGAACGGCCUGUCGUAGAGGGUGAGAAUCCCGUAGACGAAAAUUCAACGGCUCUUGUAGUGAGUACCCGAGUAGCAGCGGGCCCGUGAAAUCUGCUGUGAAUCUGUCGGGACCACCCGAUAAGCCUGAAUACUCCCUGGUGACCGAUAGCGGACUAGUACCGUGAGGGAAAGGUGAAAAGUACCCCGGGAGGGGAGUGAAAUAGUACCUGAAACCGUGCGCUUACAAUCCGUCAGAGCCUUCCAUUUCGGUGGUGGGGUGAUGGCGUGCCUUUUGAAGAAUGAGCCUGCGAGUUAGUGGCAUGUGGCGAGGUUAACCCGUGUGGGGUAGCCGUAGCGAAAGCGAGUCCGAAUAGGGCGUUUGGAGUCGCAUGUUCUAGACCCGAAGCGGAGUGAUCUACCCAUGGCCAGGGUGAAGCGACGGUAAGACGUCGUGGAGGCCCGAACCCACUUAGGUUGAAAACUGAGGGGAUGAGCUGUGGGUAGGGGUGAAAGGCCAAUCAAACUCCGUGAUAGCUGGUUCUCCCCGAAAUGCAUUUAGGUGCAGCGUCGCGUGUUUCUCACCGGAGGUAGAGCUACUGGAUGGUCUAGGGGGCCUACAAGCUUACCGAAAUCAGCCAAACUCCGAAUGCCGGUGAGUGAGAGCGCGGCAGUGAGACUGCGGGGGAUAAGCUUCGUAGUCGAGAGGGAAACAGCCCAGAUCGCCGGCUAAGGCCCCUAAGCGUGUACUAAGUGGAAAAGGAUGUGGAGUCGCGAAGACAACCAGGAGGUUGGCUUAGAAGCAGCCACCCUUGAAAGAGUGCGUAAUAGCUCACUGGUCAAGUGAUUCUGCGCCGACAAUGUAGCGGGGCUCAAGUACACCGCCGAAGCCGCGGCAUUCAGACAUUAUCCCGCCUUCGGGCCAGGAGUCUGGAUGGGUAGGGGAGCGUCCUGUAGCCAGGGAAGCGGCGGAGUGAUCCAGUCGUGGAGGCUACGGGAGUGAGAAUGCAGGCAUGAGUAGCGAAAGACGAGUGAGAAACUCGUCCGCCGAAUGACCAAGGGUUCCUGGGCCAGGUUAAUCCGCCCAGGGUGAGUCGGGACCUAAGGCGAGGCCGACAGGCGUAGUCGAUGGACAACGGGUUGAUAUUCCCGUACCCGUGUAUCCGCGCCAAAUAUCGAAUCAGCUUUGCUAACCGCGCCAAAUAUCGAAUCAGCUUUGCUAACCAUCCAAAACCCAAAAGACUUCCUUCGGGAAGCUGGAGGGGGCUGCAUGGGACCCGGGUUGUAGUAGGUAAGCGAUGGGGUGACGCAGGAAGGUAGCUGGGCCAGUCAGUGGUUGUACUGGUGUAAGCCUGUAGGGCGUUGUGUAGGCAAAUCCGCACAGCAUGUGCCUGAGAGGUGAUGCGUAGCCGAUUGAGGCGAAUUCAGUGAUCCUAUGCUGCCGAGAAAAGCCUCUAGUGAGUUGGUACACGGCCCGUACCCCAAACCGACACAGGUGGUCAGGUAGAGAAUACUAAGGCGAUCGAGAGAACUGUGGUUAAGGAACUCGGCAAAAUGCCCCCGUAACUUCGGGAGAAGGGGGACCACGCCUGGUGACGGCCUUUACGGUCUGAGCUGGGUGGGGUCGCAGAGACCAGAGAGAAGCGACUGUUUACUAAAAACACAGGUCCGUGCGAAGUCGUAAGACGAUGUAUACGGACUGACGCCUGCCCGGUGCCGGAAGGUUAAGAGGACCGGUUAGCGCUUCGGCGCGAAGCUGAGAAUUUAAGCCCCGGUAAACGGCGGUGGUAACUAUAACCAUCCUAAGGUAGCGAAAUUCCUUGUCGGGUAAGUUCCGACCUGCACGAAUGGCGUAACGACUUCUCUGCUGUCUCAACCACAGACUCGGCGAAAUUGCAUUACGAGUAAAGAUGCUCGUUACGCGCGGCAGGACGAAAAGACCCCGGGACCUUCACUAUAGCUUGGUAUUGGUGUUCGGUACGGUUUGUGUAGGAUAGGUGGGAGACUGUGAAGCGGGCACGCCAGUGUUUGUGGAGUCAUCGUUGAAAUACCACUCUGAUCGUAUUGGACUUCUAACCUCGGACCAUGAUCUGGUUCAGGGACAGUGCCUGGUGGGUAGUUUAACUGGGGCGGUUGCCUCCUAAAAUGUAACGGAGGCGCCCAAAGGUUCCCUCAGCCUGGUUGGCAAUCAGGUGUCGAGUGCAAGUGCACAAGGGAGCUUGACUGUGAGAGCGACAGCUCGAGCAGGGACGAAAGUCGGGACUAGUGAUCCGGCACCGGCAAGUGGAAGCGGUGUCGCUCAACGGAUAAAAGGUACCCCGGGGAUAACAGGCUGAUCUUCCCCAAGAGUCCAUAUCGACGGGAUGGUUUGGCACCUCGAUGUCGGCUCGUCGCAUCCUGGGGCUGGAGUAGGUCCCAAGGGUUGGGCUGUUCGCCCAUUAAAGCGGCACGCGAGCUGGGUUUAGAACGUCGUGAGACAGUUCGGUCUCUAUCCGCCGCGCGCGUCAGAAACUUGAGGAAGGCUGUCCCUAGUACGAGAGGACCGGGACGGACGAACCUCUGGUGUGCCAGUUGUUCCGCCAGGAGCACCGCUGGUUAGCUACGUUCGGAAGGGAUAACCGCUGAAAGCAUCUAAGCGGGAAGCCUGUUCCAAGAUGAGGUUUCUCACCCUCUUGAAGGGUUAAGGCCCCCCACAGACCAUGGGGUUGAUAGGCCAGAACUGGAAGCCCGGUAACGGGUGUAGGUGACUGGUACUAAUCGGCCGAGGACUUACCAAC
rnacentral:rRNA from 1 species